CACGAUCUUCUAAUUCUAAUAAGAACAAGAAAUCUUUCGCGAUCAAUCCUUUUGCCCCAUUCUUCAAUAAUCAGAAAGAUCCUUUUCAANCAAGUUUNAAUUUUUUCGNUUGGAAUCAGGNCUCUUCUACUGCNNUUUUAUUUACUUUCUUUUUUUCUUUUCUUUCAUCAUUCCUUAACUCCCACAAGGUUUGGUCCUGUAGAAUCUGACCCAUUUCAUCAUUGAGCGAAAAGUACGAAAAAAAUCAGAUCGAUUUUUCGAUCAAAAGUACUAUGUGAAGUAAGGUACAUUUUAGUCCUCCUCCUUAAAGAAACUUUAAUUUUAAUAAUCCAAAACUAACACCGUUAAAAACUAGCUGAUGUGGCUAACGGUGUAAUGACAUGUCAUUUUUUUUUUCUGAGUAAUUUUUACAGUUUUUCUCCCUCCUUCACUGGCGUCGUCUUCUUGCAUCUUCGUCCCCUUCCACCGCCCUCCCUCGUCAACUCUUUUUCCACCCCACAAUUUUCACCAACAUGAACCUCCUCCACCAUGCCAACAUCGACAGUCCUACUUCCACUAGCAUCGCCACUGCCACUAUUUCCAAAGAAACUAUUGUCACUUUUCAUGUUUGUUCCUCCAGCAUUAACUGUUCUGUUGCUCCCAUUUUGGCCAUUGCUUCCAUUGUUGCUUCCUGAAACACUUCUAUUCAUUGUUGCUUCCAUUGUUGUUGUGUAACCAACUUUCCAUUCAUUCACAAGCAGAAAAAGAAACCCAAUGAAACAUUAACCAAACCUGAAGGGAUAAAUUGUGGAAUUGGAUCAGGAGUCUGAUUGAAAGAAACCCCACAAAUUCAAUUUCAAAGAAACAAAC
rnacentral:lncRNA from 1 species